GGGGGCGACUGGUUUCGACGAGAUAUGAGAUAGGUUAAAUGGCAUGUUGAGGCUCCGUAACCUCAUAAAUCAUGCGGAACAUCUUAUAAGUGCCGAUUACGGCCAAGUUGCUUACGCUUAAUUGACGUAGGCCGUCCUAGGUAAAAUGUGUCUGUGGUUUUAUCUGAGGGCGUCGACUACACGGACUGGUUUCUAAUUGUGUCCGUAAAUUAGAAAUGAGACCUAACGGGCUAGUUUCAAAGACAUGGGGUUUCCCGGCAUUCUUUGAAAUGAAAUAAACCUGGGAGACUAAACAUGUAGAAGUUUUUCAAGUCUUUAUUUCGGACGGGAGUUCGAUUCUCCCCGCCUCCACUU
rnacentral:tmRNA from 1 species